CAGUAGCCGCGGUAAAACGGAGGGGGCUAGCGUUGUUCGGAAUUACUGGGCGUAAAGCGCACGUAGGCGGCUUGGUAAGUUAGAGGUGAAAGCCUGGAGCUCAACUCCAGAAUUGCCUUUAAGACUGCCGAGCUAGCAGGUGAGAGAGGUAAGUGGAAUUCCGAGUGUAGAGGUGAAAUUCGUAGAUAUUCGGAAGAACACCAGUGGCGAAGGCGGCUUACUGGCUCAUACUGGACGCUGAGGUGCGAAAGCGUGGGGAGCAAACAGGAUUAGAUACCCGAGUAGUCCCUGUCUCUUAUAU
rnacentral:rRNA from 1 species